GACGAACGCUGGCGGCGUGCCUAAUACAUGCAAGUCGAACGCACGAAGUUGAAGAGCUUGCUCUUUAACCAAGUGAGUGGCGGACGGGUGAGUAACACGUGGGUAACCUGCCCAUUAGAGGGGGAUAACAUUCGGAAACGGAUGCUAAUACCGCAUAGUUUCAGGAAUCGCAUGAUUCUUGAAGGAAAGGUGGCUUCGGCUACCACUAAUGGAUGGACCCGCGGCGUAUUAGCUAGUUGGUGAGGUAAUGGCUCACCAAGGCAAUGAUACGUAGCCGACCUGAGAGGGUGAUCGGCCACACUGGGACUGAGACACGGCCCAGACUCCUACGGGAGGCAGCAGUAGGGAAUCUUCCGCAAUGGACGAAAGUCUGACGGAGCAACGCCGCGUGAGUGAAGAAGGUUUUCGGAUCGUAAAACUCUGUUGUUAGAGAAGAACAAGGAUGAGAGUAACUGCUCAUCCCCUGACGGUAUUUAACCAGAAAGCCACGGCUAACUACGUGCCAGCAGCCGCGGUAAUACGUAGGUGGCAAGCGUUGUCCGGAUUUAUUGGGCGUAAAGCGAGCGCAGGCGGUUCUUUAAGUCUGAUGUGAAAGCCCCCGGCUCAACCGGGGAGGGUCAUUGGAAACUGGAGAACUUGAGUGCAGAAGAGGAGAGUGGAAUUCCACGUGUAGCGGUGAAAUGCGUAGAUAUGUGGAGGAACACCAGCGGCGAAGGCGACUCUCUGGUCUGUAACUGACGCUGAGGCUCGAAAGCGUGGGGAGCAAACAAG
rnacentral:rRNA from 1 species